rnacentral:snoRNA from 1 species
UCCCUCUCAGGGCCACACCUGGAGAGUUUCCAGCACUCUACCAGUCUCAGUUACGGGAGGAAGAGUCAAGCAGAGGCCUACCCAUUCCAUUCCUAGCUUGGGCAGUGGCUAGUGAGUGGAAGGCCAUCUGCUACAAGU